ACCAAUUCUAGAGGAUAAAACAGUUCCUUCUGGUGUAAUGGCUCGGAUGCAAGAGUAAUGUUUGUGGCCAUCCUGAUAAAUGGGUUGUUUCAAUGCCAUUUGAUCCUGGAAACACCUCAUACAAUA